rnacentral:rRNA from 1 species
UCCUACGGGAGGCAGCAGUGAGGAAUAUUGGUCAAUGGAAGGAAUUCUGAACCAGCCAUGCCGCGUGCAGGACGACGGCUCUAUGAAUUGUAAACUGCUUUUGUACCGGGGUAAAAAAGUUCACGAGUGGGCUAUUGAAAGUACGGUACGAAUAAGGAUCGGCUAACUCCGUGCCAGCAGCCGCGGUAAUA